UAUAAGCCCUUACAUGUACUUAUGUGUUUUGUUUCUGUUUUUCCAGCCUGUAUUUGAACCAGUUUCUUAGUUUGUUUGAUUACUCAUCCCGUCCACCUUUGUUCUCAUCUAUACAACCGACAGUGUUGGUAUCUAUGUGCUUUCACAAAUCAGCCUUGAGUGACCAUGUCAGCCGUCCUCUCACAUGAACACGUGGAGUUACUGCAAUAUUUAAGGCGACUACAGAUGAAAUGCUUCAUUAUUAGAGUUGUGUCGGAGCGGGCAGGAAAUCUCUGCAGAUGGAAACAGAAACAAAGAGCCUUCGGAGAGAGAGAACCGUGGGAAAUGCAUUACCGAGUGCAGUUUAAAUCUCUGAAACCCGCUGGGCGUGAAACGUCUCGUAAAACUGAUGAAUCUGCUAUUCAUGACGGGACUGGUGAAGCCUUAUCGGAGCAGCUGGGACGUGCACGAGUCUCCCGUCAGGCCUGGAUGUGUUGGGUUUUUACUUCUCAAGGGGACUGAUUUGAGAUUGUCAUCGCGUCUGAAGAGAAACGGCCUCCAUCAGAUCUCCAUGCUGUUUGGAUUCCCCCUCACGUCAGCGAGACACGCGGCUCUGAGUCAUGCAGGCUGGGACGGAUCCACGGUUCUGCAGCAUCACUGCAGUCUCUCUCACGCACUGAUGCUUUGCGUCUCAACUGUCG